rnacentral:rRNA from 1 species
UACGGGGGGAGCAAGCGUUGUUCGGAUUUACUGGGCGUAAAGGGCGCGUAGGCGGUCAGCACAAGUCAGUUGUGAAAUCUCCGGGCUUAACUCGGAAAGGUCAACUGAUACUGUGCGACUAGAGUGCGGAAGGGGCAACUGGAAUUCUCGGUGUAGCGGUGAAAUGCGUAGAUAUCGAGAGGAACAUCGGUGGCGAAGGCGGCCUUCUGGACAGUGACUGACGCUGAGACGCGAAAGCGUGGGGAGCAAACAGG